GUAGCUGAGACUCCAUGCAAAUGCCAACCAUGCCCAGGCAUUAAGUUUGACACUGGGGACGUAAAAAUGGAUAACACAUGGCCCUGGAUCUCAAGGAACCAGCCGCCUGAUGGAAAAUAAAAGAGAGAGAGAGACUUAAAUGGAUGAUUUCAGCAUAAUGAAUGCGACAGGUGAUAAGAUAAGGCAAUGCAUCUGAUAUCACUGCUUUUCCAAGGCUUCUAAAGGGGUAAAAAAUUACCCAGUGGGUAUUUGAAGGAGAAAGUAAAUAAAAGAAAAUCUACCGAGA